CCUACGGGAGGCAGCAGUGGGGAAUAUUGCACAAUGGGCGAAAGCCUGAUGCAGCAACGCCGCGUGAAGGAAGAAGGCCUUCGGGUCGUAAACUUCUGUCCUUGGGGAAGAAGAACUGACGGUACCCAAGGAGGAAGCCCCGGCUAACUACGUGCCAGCAGCCGCGGUAAUACGUAGGGGGCAAGCGUUAUCCGGAAUUAUUGGGCGUAAAGGGAGCGCAGGCGGGAAGCCAAGUCAGCUGUGAAAACUACGGGCUUAACUUGUAGACUGCAGUUGAAACUGGUUUUCUUGAGUGAAGUAGAGGUUGGCGGAAUUCCGAGUGUAGCGGUGAAAUGCGUAGAUAUUCGGAGGAACACCGGUGGCGAAGGCGGCCAACUGGGCUUUAACUGACGCUGAGGCUCGAAAGUGUGGGGAGCAAACAGGAUUAGAUACCCUGGUAGUC
rnacentral:rRNA from 1 species